rnacentral:rRNA from 1 species
UACGUAGGCAGCGAGCGUUGUUCGGAAUUACUGGGCGUAAAGAGUGUGUAGGCGGUGCUCUAAGUUCGGUGUGAAAUCUCCUGGCUCAACUGGGAGGGUGCGCCGGAAACUGGAGUGCUUGAGCGUGGGAGAGGAAAGCGGAAUUCCUGGUGUAGCGGUGAAAUGCGUAGAUAUCAGGAGGAACACCUGUGGUGUAGACGGCUUUCUGGACCAUAGCUGACGCUGAGGAGCGAAAGCCAGGGGAGCAAACGGG